rnacentral:lncRNA from 10 species
CGGCGGUCAGCUGCGCCCGGCCUGAAGUUGUCCCAACCGCGGCCGCGUCGGUCGCCCUUUUGACUUGCAGCAGGGCGGGCAGAGCGACUUAGAGGAAAAGUGACUUUUUGUACCCUCCUGCAGGGAGCAGGUUCUCUGUCCUUGUUUAAUUAGACAUUUCUCAGAGAAUCCUGCCUCUGCUCUGAAGCCUUUCUGUUCGCUCCAGUGAAAAUUAGUCAUCCACCGGGCGCGGUGGCUCACGCCUGCAAUCCCAGCACUUUGGGAGGCCGAGGUGGGUGGAUCACUUGAGGUCGGGAGUUCAAGACCAGCCUAACCAGCAUGGAGAAACCCCAUCUCUAGUAAAAAUACAAAAAAUUAGCCAGGUGUGGUGGCGCAUGCCUGUAGUCCCAGCUCUUGGGAGGCGGAGGCAAGAGAAUCGCUUGAACCCAGGAGGCAGAGGUUGUGGUGAGCUGAGAUUGUGCCAUUGCACUCUAGCCUGGUCAACAAGAGUGAAACUCCAUCUCAAAAAAAAAAAAAGAAAGAAAAUUAGUCAUCCUAUUUGACAUCAUAUUGUACAUAGGAUACUAUUCUUGUGGCACUUAUGGUUUUGGUGCCAUGGUUUUUGGCAGUGUUUAUGCUAAUUAGAUUGAAAGUUCCACAGUACUACAUUAGUUAGGUCUGUAUCUAAUACAGAAUGGGCCCCCACUAAGAAUUUUCUGGAGGGAUGUUGAGGGCAUGAAUGGUAGGCCCAGCAGUAAAAAUUCUUCCAGUGUGAUUUUUUU